AGAGUUUGAUCAUGGCUCAGGACGAACGCUGGCGGCGUGCUUAAUACAUGCAAGUUGAGCGGAGCCAUUGAUGAAGCUUGCGAUUCAAUGGUCGAGCGGCGGACGGGUGAGUAACGCGUGGGCAACCUGCCCUCUAGUCUGGGAUAACAGUUCGAAAGGGCUGCUAACACCGGAUAAGCUCACGGAGAGGCAUCUUUCAGUGAGAAAAGUUUACGCUAGAGGAUGGGCCCGCGUCCCAUUAGCUAGUUGGUGAGGUAACGGCUCACCAAGGCGCCGAUGGGUAGCCGACCUGAGAGGGUGAUCGGCCACACUGGGACUGAGACACGGCCCAGACUCCUACGGGAGGCAGCAGUAGGGAAUUUUCCGCAAUGGGCGAAAGCCUGACGGAGCAACGCCGCGUGAGGGAAGAAGGUCUUCGGAUCGUAAACCUCUGUCUUCAGGGACGAUGAUGACGGUACCUGAGGAGGAAGCCACGGCUAACUACGUGCCAGCAGCCGCGGUAAUACGUAGGUGGCGAGCGUUGUCCGGAAUUACUGGGCGUAAAGGGCGUGUAGGCGGCCAUUUAAGUCAGAUGUGAAAUACCAUGGCUUAACCAUGGGACUGCAUUUGAGACUGGAUGGCUUGAGGAUCGGAGAGGGCAGUGGAAUUCCCAGUGUAGCGGUGAAAUGCGUAGAUAUUGGGAGGAACACCAGUGGCGAAGGCGACUGCCUGGACGACACCUGACGCUGAGGCGCGAAAGCUAGGGGAGCAAACGGGAUUAGAUACCCCGGUAGUCCUAGCCGUAAACGAUGGGUACUAGGUGUGGGAGGUAUCGACCCCUUCCGUGCCGCAGUUAACACAAUAAGUACCCCGCCUGGGGAGUACGGCCGCAAGGUUGAAACUCAAAUGAAUUGACGG
rnacentral:rRNA from 1 species